rnacentral:rRNA from 1 species
CACGGGGGGAGCAGGCGUUGUUCGGAAUCACUGGGCGUAAAGGGCGUGUAGGCGGUCAGGUAAGUGGAAUGUGAAAUGCCCCGGCUUACCCGGGGACCUGCAUCCCAAACUGCUUGACUUGAGUACGGGAGAGGAUGAGGGAAUUCCUGGUGUAGCGGUGAAAUGCGUAGAUAUCAGGAGGAACACCGGUGGCGAAGGCGCUCAUCUGGCCCGAUACUGACGCUGAGGCGCGAAAGCUAGGGGAGCAAACGGG